UUAGAAAGUCCAGCCCCUCGUCCUCACAGUGGAUCCUGGUCAGUGCAGUCUGAGUCAACAGGGUGGCGUGCACUAGGAGACACAGUGGUAGAAGUAGAAAAACACUUGAUUCCUGCGUAACAUAGAUCAAUAUAAUCUGUUGCUAAGUGAUUUGGGAAAACAAAAAAGACACACAGAAUGUAAGGAUACAGUAUACAGUUAAAAGAAUAUAAUUAAUUGAAGGACAUUUUGUUAAAGUUGUACAACACCCAGUGAGGCCUCAUUUACAACUGUGUACACUGUUGUUUAGACCUUGGUUAUUGUGUAUAAUGUUUUGGGGACAAACAGAUUACUGCUCUGCAGUUAGUCCAGAGGAGAGUAACCAGAUACAGCCUUGGGCUCAAAAAGAGAUCAAGCACUGAAUGAAGCACGAAUGUUUAACUCUGAGGGCUAAAAGAACUGUAGCCGUGCAAUCUUGUAAGAGUGUUAUUGACUAUUUAGCUGAAUAACGUUAGGAGUCUGUGCCUGUGCUGUUCACAGAGUCAAGCUGGAUAGACCAGGGUCACCAAUGUCCAGCUGUGUGUCCAUAAAGAGUGACGGUUCAAUGAAUCAACCAAUAGAUUUCAGAGAAGGACCCAUCGCCUCUGACCGCAGAUCUGCUGGGCAUGGAAAUGUGUUCUGUGAUUUCUGCACUGACAAGAAGAUACGAGCUGUGAAAUACUGCCAUGUCUGCUCAGCAUCUUAUUGUGAGACACAUGUUCGACAGCACUACACAGUCCCAGCCCUGCAGGAGAAGAACAGACCAGCACUCAGUUCCUGACUGCAUGGCAUUUCCUGGCCCCCACCCUGGAGCCUUGGACUCUUCUCGGCUGGCCUCCUUCCCUUGCGGUUCUGAACCGCUUCCAGGAGGCAUCUUCUGUUGUCCAGGACAUCAGGGCCUCUCCCCGUGCAGCCUCAUCCUGUUUUAUUCCCUAAGAGCCCUGCUCUGGCACUUUAGGUUUUUCUUUUCUCUGUCCUCUUUCCUGCCGCCUUUCUGGCUCUUUUUCUUCUUCACCCUUUUCUCUCAGGCUGUCGGGGUACUUUUCUCUUUCCAGUCUCCUUCCUGCCAGGCAUCCUGUGUCCGCUCUGUCUGGAGAGCAUUUCCCUGUUAGCCUGGCCUCCCUGUAGAUUCCUGUUCCCGAGCUCUGACUGAGACUGCAUCUUGCAGCUGUGUUGUCCCAGGGCUCAUCACAACUGCCAAAUUGUAAAGAUAUGCUAAGAAUAUACCUGAGUGUUAACAUAGUUAGAGACACCUGACCAAUCAGAAAAACCCCAGACUAAGUAUUGAACUGCUAUAUAACACCUACACAGAGCAACAAGAGAGAUAGACCUUCCUUCUGCACCAAAGAGAAUGACCUCCAAUCUCUAAUAAUAACUAUAACGAUAUUUUUUUUUAUUAUAGCAUAUUUCAUUCCAAUUAAUCUGUACUUUACAAAAAGAAAAGCUUAAAAAAGAAGUCAGGAAACUUAAUAUCUAAGAAGGAAAAAGAUAGGAAAUUAGUAAUAGUAAAGUUGAUAGGCUUGUUGGUAAAGAAGGGUUUUAAGAUCUAUUUUAAAGCUUUCAAUGGAAAUUGCUUGUCUGAGAUGAUGCUUUGCUAGAACAAGGAUGAUAUGAUCUGAUUUCCUUGCUCUGGUCAGUACCAGUGAGUUAGUGAGAACUUAUGUGAAACUGUAGCUGAGUAGCUGCUGCCUUCUUGAGGGAAUGGGAAUCUGUGAAUGGAACCUGUCUCCCUUUUCUAAUAAUAUAUCUUCUGACCAGGCGAGACUGCUUUUAACCAAGGGAUUCUCUAUACAGGAAAUCAGAGUUUCCUAAAAACAACAGAAUGGCAAACUCUCUGAAUAAGGUUUAAAUAACUCGAAUCUGAUCUUUAUGGGUGACAGUGAUCUGGACAAGCAUGUCACACCACUGGUGUCAGUACCACUACAACUCGGAAAGCACCUCAGUUUCUUCAAAGCAUCUGAGAUCUGCAUGAAUGUUUUCAUUAGAUAGAUGUUAACCACUGUCUCUAAAUUCUUAGACACCUCAAACCAGCUCCUUCAAACAGCUGUAUCAAUAUACUACAUUUCAUACUACAUUUAUACAUUUCAUUACUCUACAUUGUAGGGUUCAGUAAUAAAACAGAAAAUAAACAGUAAUUAAUAAAAUCAAAUCACUAAGGUUUUUCCCUGAUAUAACUACAUUACAGGAUAUUCAACAAAAAAGCUGAAGAUGAUGUGCAGAGGAUAACGUUGAGCCUUAUGUAACAAAGGAAAAGGAUGUACCUGUAUCAGGUCCACUCAUAGUCUGCUUUUUUCAGGACUAAAACAGUCCAUUUCUUUCAGGGUCUCCCAGUGCAGUAUGUUUUGACUCUUUAAAUUGUCACCUGCUGAACACUGCGCUGAAGGGAAAACCUAAGAAGUCUGUGACAGAUUCCCCUUUGAUGGUAGCUGAAUGUUAGGGAGUUGCUCACAUUAACUCCUGACUUGACUUGACUGGAUCUUUUGCGUUGCAUGUGGACCUAUAUCAUUGUAUUUAACCAUUUUAACUCUAAUAAUUUUAACUGUAUGGCUUUCUUGUACUUUAUGAAAAAAGUAGUGAAAUGAGACCUCAACUCUGCCAUUUUGGCUGGUUUGCCAAUUCUGUCUUGUUUUUUACUUGCAGGCUGACACAGAAACACUGUAUCAGCUCAGGGUCUGACUCUCCUGAGCCGACAAGGACCGUUCACUCCCUGAAUACUCACAUAGUUAAACCUGGCUUCACACAGGAGGCACCAGUUCCCUGAACAAUCAUUCUCCCCGGGUAUUUAGAGGAUAUAUACAUCUCCCUCUGGUAUCCUAAUAUAUACUUAGGAUACUCCAGAUCCAGGUGCCCUGUUACAGAGCUAAAAAAACUAAACAGUUUUAAUAAGUAGCCUCUUCAAGGUCCAAGAUUUCAAUUUUACUUCAUUACUGUUUCCUUGUUGUGGUAGUGCUGAAAAAAAAACUUUAUUGUAACCUCCAGUACAAUAUCCAUUUCUUUUUUCACAUAUCCUCUGUUGGUCUUUCUAAUAUCUUUUUUACCUGUGCUUGUUGCAGGUCAUUAUACUCUGCUACUUUAAGAUAAACUAGCUGCUGCUCCUGCAAAAGCCCCACUCUGACAGCUGCUGAACCUCAGUUAACUGGUCCCAGCUGCUGGAGCACAUAUGUUCAUGUGGAGCUCUGAGACCUUGAUCAUGUAAACUCCACUGCUGCUUCAGCUGGGCUUCUUGAACCAGAUCUUGCUCUAGUACUUUCCCUUUAGUCUUCUUACCUUUAGAAACCCUCAUUAAAUUGAGUUCAGUGCACACUGGGGUCCAGAUGCUCCACUUUGUUGUUGCAACUGGUUCCCCAUUUGAAUUUCUACCCAUCUUUUUCUUCCUCCAACAGCAAAGGCUCAUGCUACUUAUAAAGCCAUGAUGAAGCCUGUCCUACACAAGAGUGGUAUGCAAAAUCCUACAGUACAUAUGAUUUUUUUUCCUCAUGACACCAGAGCACCACCUUAGAUAAUAUAGUAUAGAUUAAAGAUUAUAGUAUAGACAUUGUAAUAACCUUACAAUGUGAGUUAACAAUUGUGGCACUACACACGAGGGGUGUGUUUAGUGUGGAAAAAGUACAAAAGGAAAAGGUCUCCUUUGUAAUCACAGCUGCACUGAUGAAAGAUGGGCGGCAGCUGUGUGAACUCUUUAAAGGCACACUGAGCACCUCCCCGAAAAGGAUAAGCAGGGUGAGGAUCUGUGCACCGGCAGUCCCGGAAGUGAUUGUAAUCGAGUGUGAGGCUGUUUCUUUUUCUUUUAGCCUGUCCCGUUCUGUCUCUAUACUGGGGCAGACAUAUCAUUUUUCCACAAUUUAAAAUUUUAUUUUUGGCCUUGCGCUCCCUUCCUGUUCUCCGAGACUGGACCCUGUUAAACAGGGUAAGUCCAGUCUGGUCCCCGCCGGUCUUUUUCCAGGCUAGACCCCGGUUAGACAGGGCAAGUCCAGCCUAGGCGCCACUCUACAUUACGGUGCUGCGCUGCUUCACAUAACGGCGCAUUUUCUCACUAACCUCACAGAAGGUCUGUAGUCGUUGAGGACAGAGGGGCGCCCUUUCUUUGGUACCGGGACCAGGCAUGAUGUCUUCCAGAGCACCGGGACUCUCUCCAAGCGCAGGCUCAGGUUGAACAGUCGCUG
rnacentral:lncRNA from 1 species